AGAGUUUGAUCCUGGCUCAGGACGAACGCUGGCGGCGUGCCUAACACAUGCAAGUCAAAGGAAAGUAACUUCGGUUGCGAGUACUUGGCGCAAGGGUGAGUAAGGUAUAGGUAAUUUGCCUACAGGACAGGGAUAACCCCGAGAAAUCGGGGACAAUACCUGAUGAUGCAGCGGAACCGCAUGGUUAUGUUGUUAAAUGAGGAAUCGCCUGUAGAUAAGCCUAUAUUCCAUCAGGUAGUUGGCGGGGUAAAAGCCCACCAAGCCUACGACGGAUAGCUGGUCUGAGAGGAUGAUCAGCCACAUUGGAACUGAGACACGGUCCAGACUCCUACGGGAGGCAGCAGUGAGGAAUAUUGCGCAAUGGGCGAAAGCCUGACGCAGCAACGCCGCGUGGAUGAAGAAGUUCUUCGGAAUGUAAAGUCCUUUUGUAGAGGAAGAAUAGCCUGUUUUACGGGUGUGACGGUACUCUGCGAAUAAGCCACGGCUAACUCCGUGCCAGCAGCCGCGGUAAUACGGAGGGUGCAAGCGUUGUUCGGAAUUACUGGGCGUAAAGGGCGUGCAGGCGGUUUGGUAAGUCAGAUGUGAAAGCCCUGGGCUUAACCCGGGAAGUGCAUUUGAAACUGCCUUUCUUGAGUAUGGGAGAGGAGAGUGGAAUUCCCAGUGUAGAGGUGAAAUUCGUAGAUAUUGGGAGGAACACCCGUGGCGAAGGCGACUCUCUGGACCAAUACUGACGCUGAGACGCGAAAGCGUGGGGAGCAAACAGGAUUAGAUACCCCGGUAGUCCACGCCGUAAACGAUGUCAACUAACUGUUGGGACCUUAAAGGUCUUAGUGGUGGAGCUAACGUAUUAAGUUGACCGCCUGGGGAGUACGGCCGCAAGGCUAAAACUCAAAUGAAUUGACGGGGGCCCGCACAAGCGGUGGAGCAUGUGGUUUAAUUCGAUGCAACGCGAAGAACCUUACCUGGGCUUGACAUAUACUUGAUCGCCGUGGAAACACGGUUUUCUCUUCGGAGACGGGUAUACAGGUGCUGCAUGGCUGUCGUCAGCUCGUGUCGUGAGAUGUUGGGUUAAGUCCCGCAACGAGCGCAACCCUUAUCCUUAGUUGCCAUCAGGUAAUGCUGGGCACUCUAGAGGGACUGCCCGGGUUAACCGGGAGGAAGGUGGGGAUGACGUCAAGUCAGCAUGGCCCUUACGCCCAGGGCUACACACGUGCUACAAUGGAUGGUACAAAGAGUUGCGAACCUGCGAGGGUAAGCUAAUCUCAAAAAACCAUCCUCAGUUCGGAUUGGAGUCUGCAACUCGACUCCAUGAAGUCGGAAUCGCUAGUAAUCGUGGAUCAGCAUGCCACGGUGAAUACGUUCCCGGGCCUUGUACACACCGCCCGUCACACCACGGAAGUCGGGGGGACCCGAAGUCGCUGAGCCAACCGCAAGGGGGCAGGCGCCGAAGGUAAAACUGAUAACUGGGGUGAAGUCGUAACAAGGUAACC
rnacentral:rRNA from 1 species